CCUAGUUGUUGAGGUUAUGACUGCAUGCUGUCUGUCCUUGAACUGUGCACGUUUUCUGUGUUAAGUGUUAAUAAUUAUUUUAAAUGUAAAUUUAUGUUUUGCUGUUUUUUGGGUCUGAAUCCUUUUCGGAGUAGAAAGUCGCCUGGAGGACCUCAGGCGUGAAGAAAGUCUGAUCAGUGGGCCCCAACCAUUUCCAUUGAUCCUGUAAC
rnacentral:misc_RNA from 1 species